UACGAAGGGGGCUAGCGUUGCUCGGAAUCACUGGGCGUAAAGGGUGCGUAGGCGGGUCUUUAAGUCAGGGGUGAAAUCCUGGAGCUCAACUCCAGAACUGCCUUUGAUACUGAAGAUCUUGAGUUCGGGAGAGGUGAGUGGAACUGCGAGUGUAGAGGUGAAAUUCGUAGAUAUUCGCAAGAACACCAGUGGCGAAGGCGACUCACUGGCCCGAUACUGACGCUGAGGCACGAAAGCGUGGGGAG
rnacentral:rRNA from 1 species